rnacentral:rRNA from 1 species
AGAGUUUGAUCCUGGCUCAGAACGAACGCUGGCGGCAUGCCUAACACAUGCAAGUCGAACGGACGUCUUCGGACGUUAGUGGCGCACGGGUGCGUAACGCGUGGGAAUCUGCCCUUAGGGGCGGAAUAACAGUUAGAAAUGACUGCUAAUACCGGAUAAUGACUUCGGUCCNUGNAUUUAUCGCCUAGGGAUGAGCCCGCGUAGGAUUAGCUUGUUGGUGAGGUAAAAGCUCACCAAGGCGACGAUCCUUAGCUGGUCUGAGAGGAUGAUCAGCCACACUGGGACUGAGACACGGCCCAGACUCCUACGGGAGGCAGCAGUGGGGAAUAUUGGACAAUGGGCGAAAGCCUGAUCCAGCAAUGCCGCGUGAGUGAUGAAGG